rnacentral:lncRNA from 10 species
AGCUGCCGGACACCAGGAGACGAUGGAAGGUCUAUAGUGUUACAGCUCUGACCCAGGAAGUCCCAGGGUCUUGCCUUCCAGAAGGGUCGCGGCUCUUCCCUCCCUCAGUCCAACGAACAGGAGCACGUCACCUCCCGCAGCUCGGGGAGCUGGCCAGGAACGUGUUACAGCCCGUUUCGCUCCUGUCCGCAGCUGGGUGAGGCAGCCAGGAAAAUAUUACAGCUCUUCUCACGCCCGCCAUUCAGCAGGUCCUGACUUCUUGUGUGACAUCCAGAAGAAAGGGGUUACACAGACAGCUGGAGGGUGAGCAAAGUGGAGAAGUUCUCAGCAGAGAGGAGACUGGAGUGAGUUGCCCCUACCCGCAGGUGCCAACUGUAAUACAUCAGUAGCUGAACAGCUCAUUGCCCUCAAGUGUUCUUGCUCAUGCCUGGCUGAGUUAUUGAAGAAAUUGCUCAGAUCUCAAGCCCUUGUAGAUCACUGGUCCUGGCAGAUGUUGAGGCAGAGCAAGAUGGCAGAAUAGAAGUGUUCACCAAUCAUCCUUCUCACAAGGACACCAAUUUAACAACUAUCUACACAAGAAAAGCUCCUUCAUAAGAACAAAAAUCAGGUGAGCACUCAUAAUACUUGGUUUUUAAACUUUGUAUCACUGAAAGAGAUGCUGAAGAGGUAGAAGAAAAUAGUCUGGAACUACUGACAACCCCCCAGUUUGGCCACAAGAUAGGGUACUGGUCAGAGUUGCAAGACCCUCUUUCCAGGCCCUAGCUCCUGGACGGCCUUUUUUAGACAUGCCCUGGGCCAGAAGAGAACCUGCUGCCUUGAAAGAAAGGACCAAGUCCUGGUAGCAUUCAUUAUCUGCUAAUUGAGGAGACUUUGGUUCUGGAAUAAAGAGCAGUGAUACCCAGGUACUAUGUUGAGGGCUGUGGGUGAAAUUCUGAGACUUGCUGGCUUUAGGUGAGACUCAGCACAUUCCCAGAUUUAGUGGCUAUGGGGCAAGACUUGUUCCACUUGAGAAAAGCAGAAAGAAGACUAAAGGGGACUUUGCCUUGCACCUUAGGACCAGAAUGGCCACAACAGGAUAGAGCACCAACCAGGCUCUUGGGUUCCCUGAUUUUAAAACAUGGCUCUUGGAUGGCAUUUCUGGACAUGCUUUCCACCAGAGGGGAGCCCACUGCCCAGGAGGGUGAGUCCCAGGCCAGACAGUAUUCACCACAAGUUAACUGAAAAGCCCUUGGGACUUACGGGAACAUUGGUGAUAGGCUGGCAAUACUCUGUGUGGGUCUGUGGUGGUGGUGGCCAUAGAGUGAGCUCCUCUGCCUUUGGAAAGGAGAAGGAAAAGUGGGAAGGACUGCAUCCUGUGGAGUGAGUGCCAGCUCAACCACAGAACAAUAGAAUACCAGAUAGACUUCUAAGCCUUUUGAUUCUAGUCUCUGGCUCCCAGAGAGGACCUCUGGACCCACCCAGCACCUGGGGGUACUCACUGCAUGAAAAGGAAGGACACAAUUCUGACUGACUUUGCUACCUGCUGAAUGUAGAGCCUCAGAGCCUUGAGCAAAAAUAAGCAAUAGCCAGGGAGUGUUUACAGCAGGACUUGGGUAAGACCCAGCACUGUACUGACUUCUGGUCUGACCCAGUGCAGGCAUGGUAAUGAUGGCCAUAGGGUUGCUUGUGUCACUCCCCUCCUAGCUUCAUAUGGUUGAGAACAGAGGGAGAGACUCUUGUGUGUUUGAAAGAAAAUAAGGGAAGAGUACAAGAGUCUUUGCCUGGUAAUCUAGAGAAUUCUCCUGGAUUAUGAGUAGAACUAUCAAAAUAGUACCUGUAUGAGUCUACAAGAACCAUAGCAUUGCUGGGCUUGGGGUGCCCAGAUACAGCUUCGAUCACAACAUUCAAGUUUUUUUUUUUUUUAAUAUUUGGAAAUUCUUCCCAAGAAAGAUGGGUACAAACAAGCCCAGACAGCAAAGACUAAAAUAAAUAACUCUUCAAUGCUUGGACACAGACAAAUAUCUGCAAGUAUCAAAACAUUCCAGAACAAUAAGAUCUCACCAAAUGAACUAAAUAAGACACCAGGGACCAGUUCUAGAGAAAAAGAUAUGUGACCUUUUAGACAGAUAAUUCAAAGUAUCUAUUUUGAGGAAACUCAAAGAAAUUCAAGAUAACACAGAGAAGGUGUUCAGAAUUCUAUCAAAGAGAUUGAAAUAAUUAAAAAGAAACAAGUAGAAGUUCUUGAGUUGAAAAAUUACAAUUGGCAUGCUGAAGGAAUGCAUCAGAGUCUUUUAAUAUCAGAAUUGAUUAAGCAGAAGAAAGAAUUAGUGAGCCUGAACACAGGCUAUUUGAAAAUAUGGGGUCAGAAGAGAUAAAAGAAAAAAUAAACAAUGAAAUAUGCCUAUAUGAUCUAGAAAAUAUCCCCGAAAUGGCAAAUCUAAGAGUUACUGGGUGUAAAGAGGAGGUAGAGGAAGAGAUAGGAGUAGAAAGUUUAUUUAAAGGGAUAAUAUCAGAGAACUUGUCAAACCUAGAGAAAUAUAUCAAUAUUCUAAUACCAGAAUGUUAUAGAGUACCAAGCAUAUUUAACCCAAAGAAAGUUACCUCAAGGGAUAUAAUAAUCAAAUUCCCAAAGAUCAAAGAUAAAGAAAGGAUCACAGAAGCAGUAAGAAGAAAACAAAAACACACAAUGAAACUCCAAUACUACUAACAUCAGACUUUUCAUAGAAGGCUUACAGGCCAGUAGAGAGUGGCAUGACAUAUUUAUCAUACUGAAGGAAAAACGUUUUACCCUAGACUAGUGUAUCUGGUGAAAAUAUCCUUCAAGCAUGAAAGAGAAAUAAAGACCUUAUCUGACAAACAAAAGCUAAGGGAUUUCAUCAGCACCACACCUGUCCUACAAGAAAUGCUAAAGGGAGUUUUUCAAUCUGGAAGGAAUGGGUGUUGAUGAGCAAGAAAUCUUACAGUGCAAAACUCAUUGGUAAUAGGAGACAGAAAAACACAGAAUAUUAGAACACUGUAACUGUGGUAUGUAAACUACUCUUAACCUAAGUGGAAAGACUAAAUGAGCCAAUCAAAAAUAAUAACUACAAUUUUUAAGACAUAGUACAAUAACAAAUAGAAACAAUGAAAAGGUAAGAAGUGGGGGGGGGUGAAGUAAAGGCAUAAUUUUUUGUUUUCUUUUUGUUGGUUAGGCCAACAGUGUGGUUAUCAGACUAAAAUAAGGGUUUUAAUAUAGUAUUUGAAUGUUUCAUGGUAACCAUAAACCAAAUAAAACAUAGAGUGG